rnacentral:rRNA from 1 species
GUCGAACGCUUCUUUUUCCACCGGAGCUUGCUCCACCGGAAAAAGAGGAGUGGCGAACGGGUGAGUAACACGUGGGUAACCUGCCCAUCAGAAGGGGAUAACACUUGGAAACAGGUGCUAAUACCGUAUAACAAUCAAAACCGCAUGGUUUUGAUUUGAAAGGCGCUUUCGGGUGUCGCUGAUGGAUGGACCCGCGGUGCAUUAGCUAGUUGGUGAGGUAACGGCUCACCAAGGCCACGAUGCAUAGCCGACCUGAGAGGGUGAUCGGCCACAUUGGGACUGAGACACGGCCCAAACUCCUACGGGAGGCAGCAGUAGGGAAUCUUCGGCAAUGGACGAAAGUCUGACCGAGCAACGCCGCGUGAGUGAAGAAGGUUUUCGGAUCGUAAAACUCUGUUGUUAGAGAAGAACAAGGAUGAGAGUAACUGUUCAUCCCUUGACGGUAUCUAACCAGAAAGCCACGGCUAACUACGUGCCAGCAGCCGCGGUAAUACGUAGGUGGCAAGCGUUGUCCGGAUUUAUUGGGCGUAAAGCGAGCGCAGGCGGUUUCUUAAGUCUGAUGUGAAAGCCCCCGGCUCAACCGGGGAGGGUCAUUGGAAACUGGGAGACUUGAGUGCAGAAGAGGAGAGUGGAAUUCCAUGUGUAGCGGUGAAAUGCGUAGAUAUAUGGAGGAACACCAGUGGCGAAGGCGGCUCUCUGGUCUGUAACUGACGCUGAGGCUCGAAAGCGUGGGGAGCAAACAGGAUUAGAUACCCUGGUAGUCCACGCCGUAAACGAUGAGUGCUAAGUGUUGGAGGGUUUCCGCCCUUCAGUGCUGCAGCUAACGCAUUAAGCACUCCGCCUGGGGAGUACGACCGCAAGGUUGAAACUCAAAGGAAUUGACGGGGGCCCGCACAAGCGGUGGAGCAUGUGGUUUAAUUCGAAGCAACGCGAAGAACCUUACCAGGUCUUGACAUCCUUUGACCACUCUAGAGAUAGAGCUUCCCCUUCGGGGGCAAA